GAUGAACGCUGGCGGCGUGCCUAAUACAUGCAAGUCGAGCGAAGCGGGGACGGGUGAGUAACACGUGGAUAACCUCCUAUAAGACUGGGAUAACUUCGGGAAACCGUAGCUAAACCGGAUAAUUAUAGAUGGAUCCGCGCUGCAUUAGCUAGUUGGUAAGGUAACGGCUUACCAAGGCAACGAUGCAUAGCCGACCUGAGAGGGGUAUCGGCCACACUGGAACUGAGACACGGUCCAGACUCCUACGGGAGGCAGCAGUAGGGAAUCUUCCGCAAUGGGCGAAAGCCUGACGGAGCGACGCCGCGUGAGUGAUGAAGGUCUUCGGUUCGUAAAACUCUUUUAUUAGGGAAGCGUUACCUUUUCAGAAAGCCCCGGCUAACUACGUUCCAGCAGCCGCAGUAAUUC
rnacentral:rRNA from 1 species